CCCCGUGCCAAGCGCUGCCCACCUCUGCCAGGCAAACCCACACCUGCCUCUUCCUAAGGGAUUCACCAGCCCCGCCUCGGCCCAGGGCAGAGGGCAGUAGCCACCGACUUCAGUGGUUCCUGUACGUUCACCUGCUCUCUUGGAAAGAGAGAGAAGAGAAAAAAGUCAGGAAGUCCUUGUGGAGACUCUGGUACCAGCAUAAGUCCCCAGGAUUUAAAAACUGCCCCUCUUGCCAGGCAGGCCUACGAGAUGCCUCCUCUGUCAGGCUACAUGUACCUGUCGAACAAUCAAAGGAGUUACUCCAUUCCUAUGGACCCCAAAUCAGAAUUCAACAUAUAUAUUUUAUACUAAUAACAUUUUAUCAAAGUAUUAAUCAAAUGUUAAUUUGCUAACUUGAGACCAUGGGCGGAGACAUUGUGUAAGCUUUUAACCAUUGGCUAUUGUGCUAUCUUGUCUUGCUGCAAAACCUAUCCCGGGGUGUGGAACUGCCUACCCCGUCACUUUCCCCCGCCCAUGGAAAAUCUAUAUAUUUCAUUGUAAUCAAUUGAUUGACAGUGUCUCUGAGCCUAAUAAGCCAGGUGACACUCCGCCAGCGCUGUGUGUAAUAAACCCCUAUGCUUUGACCUCUA